rnacentral:rRNA from 1 species
UACGUAGUGUGCAAGCGUUGUCCGGAAUUAUUGGGCGUAAAGAGCUCGUAGGCGGUUUGUCGCGUCUGCUGUGAAAACCCGAGGCUCAACCUCGGGCCUGCAGUGGGUACGGGCAGACUAGAGUGCGGAAGGGGCUACUGGAAUUCUCGGUGUAGCGGUGAAAUGCGUAGAUAUCGAGAGGAACACCUGCGGCGAAGGCGGGUAGCUGGGCCGACACUGACGCUGAGGCGCGAAAGCCAGGGGAGCGAACGGG